rnacentral:rRNA from 1 species
GAUGAACGCUGGCGGCGUGCUUAACACAUGCAAGUCGAACAGUGAAGCAGGAGCUUGCUCUUGUGGAUCAGUGGCGAACGGGUGAGUAACACGUGAGCAACCUGCCCCUGACUCUAGGAUAAGCGCUGGAAACGGCGUCUAAUACUGGAUAUGUGAUGUGACCGCAUGGUCUGCAUCUGGAAAGAAUUUCGGUUGGGGAUGGGCUCGCGGCCUAUCAGCUUGUUGGUGAGGUAAUGGCUCACCAAGGCGUCGACGGGUAGCCGGCCUGAGAGGGUGACCGGCCACACUGGGACUGAGACACGGCCCAGACUCCUACGGGAGGCAGCAGUGGGGAAUAUUGCACAAUGGGCGGAAGCCUGAUGCAGCAACGCCGCGUGAGGGAUGACGGCCUUCGGGUUGUAAACCUCUUUUAGCAGGGAAGAAGCGAAAGUGACGGUACCUGCAGAAAAAGCACCGGCUAACUACGUGCCAGCAGCCGCCGUAA